AGCCGUAUGCAUUUGCACCAAGAGCAAACUUCCUGCUUUUCUUGGAUAUAAAUGAAGUGUUGGAGGAAGAAUAAGAAAUGUGGCUAUGAUUCUACCAUGCUUAUGUCCAUAGUGGACAGAUGAAAGCAAUAAGACGACUUACCUGAAGACUGAAAAGGAUAAUUGUGUUGCCCAAGAUCACACAGGCUUGCUGUUCUCGCCUGUCAGGUCUUUUCAAAUCACUUAACGUUUACUGGAACAAUUCUACACUGCCGGAUUUGCUGCUCAUCCAGCGUGGUGUUUGUAUCACAGCUGCUACACCAGAGUCAUCUCAAUAAGAGGAAACGUUUCUCACCACUUCAUUAGUACACAGCAGCAUGAAAAUAAUAAUUUCCUCUGAAAAUAAAAA